CAUCAGGUUCUGCGCAACGGGAACCCAUGAAUCUGGUCAGGUCCGGAAGGAAGCAGCCAUAAGUGGUCAUUUCCGUGUGCCGCAGGUUACCUGAUUGUA
rnacentral:SRP_RNA from 1 species